GAUCCUGGCUCAGGACGAACGCUGGCGGCGUGCUUAACACAUGCAAGUCGAACGGGGCGCUUAUGAUGGAGAUUUCGGUCAACGGAUUAGGCUGCCUAGUGGCGGACGGGUGAGUAACGCGUGAGUAACCUGCCUUUCAGAGGGGGACAACAGUUGGAAACGACUGCUAAUACCGCAUAAUAUAUAUGGACCGCAUGAUCUGUGUAUCAAAGAUUUAUCACUGAAAGAUGG
rnacentral:rRNA from 1 species